rnacentral:piRNA from 1 species
UCCUUGAACUUGAGAUCGGUGUCAGUGGU